rnacentral:rRNA from 1 species
AUUGAACGCUGGCGGCAUGCUUUACACAUGCAAGUCGAACGGUAACAGGGAGCUUGCUCCGCUGACGAGUGGCGAACGGGUGAGUAAUGCGUCGGAACGUGCCGAGUAGUGGGGGAUAACGCAUCGAAAGGUGUGCUAAUACCGCAUACGAACUGAGGUUGAAAGUGGGGGACCUUCGGGCCUCACGCUAUUCGAGCGGCCGACGUCUGAUUAGCUAGUUGGUGCGGGAAAGGCUCACCAAGGCGACGAUCAGUAGCGGGUCUGAGAGGAUGAUCCGCCACACUGGGACUGAGACACGGCCCAGACUCCUACGGGAGGAAGCAGUGGGGAAUUUUGGACAAUGGGCGCAAGCCUGAUCCAGCCAUGCCGCGUGUCUGAAGAAGGCCUUCGGGUUGUAAAGGACUUUUGUCCGGGAGCAAAUGCUGGUGGCUAACAUCCAUCGGAGCUGAGAGUACCGGAAGAAUAAGCACCGGCUAACUACGUGCCAGCCGCCGCCGUAACAC